UGGUGGAGUAUUUUCAUGAUUGACACUGC
rnacentral:piRNA from 1 species